GGAAUCUUGCGCAAUGGGCGAAAGCCUGACGCAGCAACGCCGCGUGCGGGAAGAAGGCUUUCGGGCUGUAAACCGCUUUCAGUAGGAACGAAACUGACGGUACCUACAGAAGAAGGAGCGGCCAACUAUGUGCCAGCAGCCGCGGUGACACAUAGGCUCCAAGCGUUGUCCGGAUUUAUUGGGCGUAAAGAGCUCGUAGGCGGUUGAGUAAGUCGGGUGUGAAAACUUUGGGCUUAACCCAAAGACGCCACUCGAUACUGCUUUGACUUGAGUUCGGUAGGGGAGUGGGGAAUUCCUUGUGUAGCGGUGAAAUGCGCAGAUAUAAGGAGGAACACCGGUGGCGAAGGCGCCACUCUGGGCCGAUACUGACGCUGAGGAGCGAAAGCGUGGGGAGCAAACAGGAUUAGAUACCCUGGUAGUCCACGCGGUAAACGGUGGUCACUAGGUGUGGGUCUCUACCAAUGAGAUCUGCGCCGUCGCUAACGCAUUAAGUGACCCGCCUGGGGAGUACGGUCGCAAGACUAAAACUCAAAUGAAUUGACGG
rnacentral:rRNA from 1 species